rnacentral:lncRNA from 13 species
CAUUAAAAAUCCUACAAUGUGAUUUUCUGGAUUUUUUUUCUCAUUUUGUCUGUCAUAGUUGAAGUGUACCUAUGAUGACAAUUACAGGCCUCUCUCAUCUUUUUAAGUGGGAGAACUUGCACAAUUGGUGGCUGACUAAAUACUUUUUUUGCCCCACUGUAUCUUACAACAUCUGUUGCAUUAUUUUAUUUGUGUGUGUGUUGCUGUGUGUGUGCACGUGUAUGUGUGUGUGUGUUUUCCUUUUUCCUAUAGUAUCUGUCACGUUCUGACCUUAGUUCUGUUGUUUUCUGACCUUAGUUCUGUUUUUCGUUUUUCUAUGUUGUGUUUUGCGUUUGGCCUGGUAUGGUUCUCAAUCAGAGGCAGGUGUCGUUCGUUGUCUCUGAUUGAGAAUCAUACUUAGGUAGCCUUUUCCCACCUGUGUUUCGUGGGUGAUUAUUUUCCGUUUCAGUGUUUGCACCAUACGGAACUGUUUCGGUUUUGUUAUUUCACGUUGUUAUUCUGUAUUUUUCAGUGUUCUAUUAAAAUAAUCAUGAACACGUACCACGCUGCGCAUUGGUCCUCUGAUCCUUCCUACUACUCCUCGUCAGAGGAGGAAGAAGACCGUUACAGUAUCUGUAUAAUUUCAUGUAUCAGAGGCAGCUGGUCUGAAAUAGGAACCAUGAUGAGAGAAGACAGACUGGGAAUGGUUGAAUGUGAGACGUGGAUUGAAGGAGAGGAGAGAGGGAGCUGAAGCAUUUAUCUUGUCCUUUCUGUUGGUCAGCAAAGUGCUCAAAGAGGAAGAAAAAAGGAAAGAAACGGAUAAAGCUGAUCAAGAAGAAGAGAAACCAUUUGCCUCAGAAUGUGCUUGGUACAUCUGUCUACCCAUGGCUACAGUUAAUUGUAUUUACUGCACAAAUAAGGGUUGAACCUCUAUGAUUCCUCUAUCUUUUUUUUAAUCUCUUUUGUAUAUAUUUUUCUUCUUCAUGGAAUGGCAAUAAAUCUCUACCAAUAUAGAGUAGUUGUCAACCAAUUUUUAUAGUUG